rnacentral:lncRNA from 1 species
GCAGUCUGGUGCAAGUUACUAUGAGCUUCGUAAAAGUUUAACAUCUAGAUAUACAUUGCGUCUAAUAUAAAUACAUAGUAAGCAAUAUAAAUAAAUCUAGAAAAGCUAAAAACAAUUUACAAUUUGAAAAGGAGGGAGUAUGUCAAUUCUCAUUUUCUAAUAAUAUUACUGUGAAACAAAAAACUCUCGUCAUCCUUGUUUUUAGAAACAUUAGCAGCAUUCCCACUUUCUUUUCUUUUUUUUCUCGAUCGGACAUUGUGCCCAUUUUUCACCACUUUCAAAAAAAUGCAACACGGCCCUUUGCAUCACUACAAGAAGCGUUCUUUUUUUUUCUUUUACAGAGGCAGGCCGGCAGGCCGCAUGUGUCAAAUGGUCAUGUAAAGGUGGGCAACCCAGAAGGCUAUUUACAGAGACGAUUGGUCUAACUCCAAGCAUUCUGUAGUUUUAUGUAACACCCAAAAAUUUGCUUUUGAAUUAAUAGAAUUUAAUGAGAAUUAUUUAAGCAAUUUUUGUGAGCAUUUAAUCUAGUAAAUAAAAUAUUUUUUUGUCGAAAUUAAAAUUUAUCCUAAGAUUAGAAACUUGUUUAUGCAUUCAUGCUGAAGAAUAUUUUAUUUUGUAUUGUUUGCCUCUGGCUUGAAUUUAUUUGCAUUCAAAAUUUUAUUUGGAAAAGGUUUUAGGAAAAGAAAACAGAAAAGAAAUUUUAAAAAAAAAAAGCUUCCCCGGAUUCCAGCCCAGCCCCUUUUUCCCCUUUUGCGCUCGGCCCAGCGCGCGGCAUAGGAGCCGGCCCAGCUUUCCCCCCAGCAACCAGGCCGGCCCGCGCGCGCACUCUCCACUCUCCCUGACCGACGACCGGGACCCAGCGCCCUUUGGCUGACAGCUUGGGCCCGCGCGUCAGCGCCUUCUCCUUCCUCAACUCGCAUCCGAUGAGAACUCUUCCCCGGGGCCGAAUCAAUCCCGAAAUCUCGGGAUUUCCUUGCCCUUAUCGCGAAUCAAGACCCUAUAAAGCACCCCGCGAUGCCCCGCGUCGUGUUUUUCAUCUAAGUCGCGAAACCGAAUCCUAGCCGCCUUGAACUCGCUCCCGUCGAGGGAGAUAACCGCCGCCGCGCGCAACUGCUCCUCUCUGUGUCUUCUCAGCUCGAGCAAACCAUCC